rnacentral:misc_RNA from 1 species
AGAUAGUUUUUAAGAUUGAUAUAUAAAUCCAUAGUUUAAAAUGGCAGGACUGAGCAGUGAACAACUUGAUGAAUUUAGAGAGAAUGGUAUCCUGGUUGUAAAGAAUUUCUUGAGUUUGGGUGAGGUUGAUUCCUUAAGAGCUGCUUGCUCUCAGCUUGUCCAGGAUAUGGAUCCUGCUCAGCAUAGAGGAAUAUUCUCUACUACAGAUCACCAGCAAGCUACAGAUACAUACUUUCUUAACUCAGGAGACAAGAUUAGAUAUUUUUUCGAGGCAGAAGCGUUCGAUGUUGAUGGUAACCUUGUCCUGGAGAAAUCUAGUGCUCUCAACAAGAUGGGACAUUCUCUUCAUACUCUUGAUGAAAACUUUAGAAAAGUCAGUUUCUCAGAUAAAGUCCAAGCUGUUGCACGGAGCCUAGGCAUGAAGGAGCCAGCGAUUGUUCAAGGAAUGUAUAUAUUCAAACAACCUGGUGUAGGUGGAGAGGUGACUCCUCAUCAGGAUGGAACAUUUCUGUUUAAUGAUCCAUUAUCCUUGUAUGGAUUCUGGUUCCCAGUAGAUGAUGCUACCCUAGAGAAUGGAUGCCUUUGGUAUGUACCUGGCUCCCACUCUACUCCCAUCAAUAGAAGAUUUAUCCGAACUAACCAGGAGGAUAAGUUGCUAGGGUUUCGUGGAACUGAUCCUGUAUAUCCUGAUGAUGCUUGGGUUGCUGCUCCUGUAAACCGAGGGGAUCUGGUUCUAAUCCAUGGCCAAGUAGAACAUUGAAAUAAAUGCGGCAGAUUUCAGAUUCCAGAUUUCAGCUUUAUAUCUAGCUAAUUAAUAGUAUUCCAUAAAUCUGAGAAAAACAUUUCUGAGAAACCCCGACAUGCCUACACUUUUCAUGUUAUAGAAAUGCAGGGAUCAGACUACAGCAAG